UGAUAAUUAGUUUAAACAAAACAAAUGAUUUCGACUCAUUAAAUUAUGAAUAUACUCAUAAUUAUCAA
rnacentral:tRNA from 1 species